UUCAGCUUCAGGAUAUUGACGAU
rnacentral:piRNA from 1 species